CCCGGCACAAGCGGUGGAGGUAUGUGGUUUAAUUCGAUGCAACGCGAAGAACCUUACCUGGUCUUGACAUCCCGGAGACCCUUAGGAAACUAGGGGUGCUUCCAUCUGGAAGAAUCUGGAGACAGGUGCUGCAUGGCUGUCGUCAGCUCGUGUCGUGAGAUGUUGGGUUAAGUCCGCAACGAGCGCAACCCUUGCCUUUAGUUGCCAGCAGUUCGGCUGGGCACUCUAAAGGGACUGCCGGUGUUAAACCGGAGGAAGGUGGGGAUGACGUCAAGUCCUCAUGGCCUUUAUGACCAGGGCUACACACGUACUACAAUGGCCGAUACAAAGGGCAGCGACACUGCGAGGUGAAGCCAAUCCCGUAAAAUCGGUCUCAGUCCGGAUUGGAGUCUGCAACUCGACUCCAUGAAGUUGGAAUCGCUAGUAAUCGUGGAUCAGCAUGCCACGGUGAAUACGUUCCCGGGCCUU
rnacentral:rRNA from 1 species